rnacentral:lncRNA from 1 species
UGGAGAACUCACCACUGUUUCCUGGACUCUUGAGCAUAUUGGUUCUGAGGAUGCUGCCCAAAAUGCUCUGAGGAGAAUCUUUUUAACAUGGACAAAUUCACCAGGUGCUCCUGAGCUUAUGCAAGCAGCAGUUUCUCAAAGUCCCAAUUCCUCUUCCACCAAUGGGAUUCUUGUUUCUACAAGGGCUGAUGAAGCCUGACCCCUGGAGUAUUCUGUUUGUCAGAGGAUGUGCUAGAACAUGAAUAUCAAC